GUUGCCUUUCAUGACAAAUCUGAAUUGCUAGAUGUGUAGAUGGCGUAUUAGUUUAUAGUUCAGUUGCAAGUCAAAGUAUAACAAUCUGACCUCUAGGAGAUCCGCCUAACAAGAUGUGAGAGGGCAUGUGAGAUGGUUCUUACUACCCCGCUCCUUGCCAAAUUCUUCCCUGACAUCCAAUUAAGUUUUUCCGCGCAUGUCCAUUGUUUCUAGAUAGACCCUGAAUAUCUGAAUACAGUUUUGUCAUUUCAAAUAUCAUGAAGUAGCUCUCCCCUGUUCAUAUCAAUAUUCAUAGAUACAUGAGCACUUGGUGAUCCUCUGACUAUAUGGUCUGCCCUUCUAAAAUUCCUUAGUAUUUUUCUUCGUAUUUAUGUGGUUUACCUAAGGUUCUGAGUUUCCCGUGUUAAUCAGUUAAUCAUGGUUAUAUUCUAAAUUAAUAUAUGGAUUGUGCAACCUAUUACUGAAAUUCUUAUACAACUGAAAGCCUGGAACAAUACACUAGACAAAUGUAAAGGGAAACUAUAUUAUGUAUAUUUAGUGAACUAAGAUUUGUCUUUUCAAGUUGUAGAUCUGGAUUUUCUAAACAUGUCAUAUAUUCAGUAAAGUAUGUGCAUAACCAUGGCUAUCAAUUUUUUAUGCAUGUCGUAUGUCCGUCGUCAUUGAUUUUAUUCAUGGAUCGAUUUGACACAUCUCUUUAUGUGGUUCAAGCAUAUCUUGCUUUAUGUUACCCUUUUAGGCUCUGCUGUUUAGUCCCCCUGUUUUAUUUUCAUGCAGAAGUGGCAUAUGCAAAUGCUCCUACAGCUUCAUAUGAGCUUCUAGAUGGGCACUAAGUUAUCAAUACUAUGUAGACACAUCUUUGUUUCCAUUCGUUUAUUACCAAUUAGAUAAACCGUAUGAGCUACUAGCUAUGUUUCUCGAAGAGUGUAUCCGCAUCUUGCCCUCUUACUCCAUUGUGCAUGUCUCUUCAGUUCACCAUACAAAUGGUCAUUACAAAUUCGUUGUUUGCCAACUGAAAUCAAACCAAUAUAUCACACCACAAAAAACUGGAGUUUGGCAACCGCAAAGUUUCAACCCAAAAUGUAAUGAAAUGGAAGCCCAGAGAUAGAAUGGGGACAUCUACAUGUUACAGUUCACUGGAAUAUACUCGUGUGCCGCAUUUCGGUGGUCUUGAGUUGUAGUUUUGCAGCCUCUUCGACCAUAUCAUGGUUCAGCUACUACAAUAAUUGUAGAUUCUUUUCAUGCCUAGACACGGUAUUUCGAUUUUGGAUGCACAGUGCACCUAUAAGAUGUUGGGAUGCUGAGUCCACUUUGUAUUUUCUGCAAUUAGGAUGUGUUCGAAAGAAGGUGCCAGGCCGUCAUAUUGUAUUUUCUGCACAACCACAAACUAUCGGUUUUGUUUUCGUUCAGCUCAAUGCCUGUUCUCGCGGAAGCAUACACAUAAUGUGGGAAGGAUCGUUCCAUGUAGAAACUGAAGAAAGGAGGAAUUUUGACAAAUUAAAAAAAAAACUAAUGAUGAUAAGGACGGUAUAAGUUGGUUCCUAAGUUCAGAAGAAGCGGGGUUUAGUACCUUUAUUGUAAAAUUUUAGUUAAAUAUGUUAUGUUCGUAAGCAUGGCAAAGUUAAAAUAGAAACCCCACUUUUUCUGAAGUUAGUCAAAACGCUAUAAGGCACUAAGUCCUGCUCCCUUAGAAGUUAGUUAAAAAAUUAGUUUCUUAUGUGUACAUGUUUGUGAAGGAAAAAUAUAAGAAACGCUGAUCCUUGUGAAGUUUAAACAGAUGUUCUGGUCCAUCAUGUUUAUAUAAGCAUUUGCUA